rnacentral:rRNA from 1 species
UACGAAGGGGGGCUAGCGUUGCUCGGAAUUACUGGGCGUAAAGCGCACGUAGGCGGCUCUUUAAGUCAGGGGUGAAAUCCUGGAGCUCAACUCCAGAACUGCCUUUGAUACUGAAGAUCUUGAGUUCGGGAGAGGUGAGUGGAACUGCGAGUGUAGAGGUGAAAUUCGUAGAUAUUCGCAAGAACACCAGUGGCGAAGGCGGCUCACUGGCCCGAUACUGACGCUGAGGCACGAAAGCGUGGGGAGCAAACAGG